CCUACGGGAGGCAGCAGUGGGGGAUAUUGCACAAUGGGGGAAACCCUGAUGCAGCGACGCCGCGUGAGUGAAUAAGUAUUUCGGUACGUAAAGCUCUAUCAGCAGGGAAGAAUAAUGACGGUACCUGACUAAGAAGCCCCGGCUAACUACGUGCCAGCAGCCGCGGUAAUACGUAUGGAGCAAGCGUUAUCCGGAUUUACUGGGUGUAAAGGGAGCGCAGACGGCAGGGCAAGUCUGAUGUUAAAGUCCGGGGCUCAACCCUGGGACUGCAUUGGAAACUGUCCGGGUAGAGUGCAGGAGAGGUA
rnacentral:rRNA from 1 species